CCUACGGGAGGCAGCAGUGGGGAAUAUUGCACAAUGGGGGAAACCCUGAUGCAGCGACGCCGCGUGAGUGAAGAAGUAAUUCGUUAUGUAAAGCUCUAUCAGCAGGGAAGAAAAUGACGGUACCUGAGUAAGAAGCCCCGGCUAACUUCGUGCCAGCAGCCGCGGUAAUACGUAGGGGGCAAGCGUUAUCCGGAUUUACUGGGUGUAAAGGGAGCGUAGACGGCAGUGCAAGUCUGGAGUGAAGGGCGGGGGCUCAACCCGCGGCCUGCACUGGAAACUGUACGGCUUGAGUGCAGGAGAGGUGAGUGGAAUUCCUGGUGUAGCGGUGAAAUGCGUAGAUAUUAGGAGGAACACCAGUGGCGAAGGCGGCUUACUGGACUGUAACUGACGUUGAGGCUCGAAAGCGUGGGGAGCAAACAGGAUUAGAUACCCCGGUAGUC
rnacentral:rRNA from 1 species